rnacentral:misc_RNA from 1 species
UUUUCUUUUUACCUACGAUCAACAUGUUUGCAAUGAACGACUUGAAUCACCGUAAAGCAAUUCACGAAUCGUAGAACGCGAACGUCCGUGCGAUUUAUUCGGGUUACACGAGACGUAAUCCCGUUCAGGCCGACCUGGCUUUCGAGCGUCAUCGCGUGUCUUUCAUCGACGUAUUUUCGGCAUCAUGCCACGGACAAGCUGGUGUAAUAUGUUCCAAGUGCGUCAUAAUUAAAACAGCCGAACGCCGCGAUGCAUUCGUCGAAAGCUUAUGACGAUCGCGGAAGGAACUCCGAUGCCCAGGAAUUUCACAGGAACAGCCACGCAAUAGCAUCGAUGAGCCGAUUCACGAUUUCUACUUGGUUUGCCCGUCAUAGUGGGUGAUUACCUCAGUCAGGACACGUAGGCAUAAAUCCUUUCGAUCGAUGGAAGUGAAGAAUAUCCUGAAUGUCUUGGGAUCUUUUGCAAUAGUUUUAUGUUAGACAGAUAAUAGUGUUGUAAAUUUUAUUCCUGAUAAAAGUGAUGCUAAUAGUAGUAGAUAGAUUAAAACGAAGAUAAUCUUUCUAUGUCUUUUGUUCGUGCAGUAGGUU